UACGUAGGGGGCAAGCGUUGUCCGGAAUCAUUGGGCGUAAAGCGCGCGUAGGCGGCCAGAUAAGUCCGGUGUGAAAGUCACAGGCUCAACCUGUGAAUGCCGCUGGAAACUGUCUGGCUUGAGUCCGGAAGGGGCGAGUGGAAUUCCUGGUGUAGCGGUGAAAUGCGCAGAUAUCAGGAGGAACACCAAUGGCGAAGGCAGCUCGCUGGGACGGUAUUGACGCUGAGACGCGAAAGCGUGGGGAGCAAACAGG
rnacentral:rRNA from 1 species